rnacentral:rRNA from 1 species
AGGUAGUGACAAUAAAUAACAAUGCCGGGCCCUUUUGGGUCUGGCACUUGGAAUGAGAACAAUUUAAACCCCUUAUCGAGGAUCAAUUGGAGGGCAAGUCUGGUGCCAGCAGCCGCGGUAAUUCCAGCUCCAAUAGCGUAUAUUAAAGUUGUUGCAGUUAAAAAGCUCGUAGUUGAAUUUGUGGAGGAGUGAUGGGUCCAUUUUUUGGUACUCGUGACUGCUCCAUCCUUGGGUGGAUGCAAUGUGGCAUUAAGUUGUCGCGUUGUGGAUGCCCAUCGUUUACUGUGAAAAAAUUAGAGUGUUCAAAGCAGGCUUAUGCCGUUGAAUAUAUUAGCAUGGAAUAAUGAGAUAGGACUCGGGGACUAUUUUGUUGGUUUGCGUUCCGGAGUAAUGAUUAACAGGGACAGUUGGGGGUAUUUGUAUUCCAUUGUCAGAGGUGAAAUUCUUGGAUUUCUGGAAGACAAACUACUGCGAAAGCAUUUACCAAGGAUGUUUUCAUUAAUCAAGAACGAAAGUUAGGGGAUCGAAGAUGAUUAGAUACCAUCGUAGUCUUAACCAUAAACUAUGCCGACUAGGGAUUGGUGGGGUAUGUAAUGUCUCCAUCAGCACCUUAUGAGAAAUUAAAGUUUUUGGGUUCCGGGGGGAGUAUGGUCGCAGAACUGAAA